AUGGGAACGCGAAGAACCUUACCUAGACUUGACAUCUUCUGCAUUAAUCGUAAUGGAUGAAAAUCCCCUUCGGGGACGAGAAUGACAGGUGGUGCAUGGUUGUCGUCAGCUCGUGUCGUGAGAUGUUGGGUUAGGUACCGCCACGAGCGCACCCUACUUACUAGUUGUCUACCACUUAAGUUAGUAGCACUCUAGUGAGACUGCCCGGGUUAACCCGGGUACGGGAAGGCGGGGAGUGACGUCAAAUACAUCAUGCCCCUUACUGUCUAGGGCGAACACACGUGCUACAAUGGUGAGUACAGAUAGAUGCGAUACCGCAAGGUGGAGCCAAACUCUAAAACUCAUCCCAGUUCGGAUUGUAGGCUGAAACUCGCCUACAUGAAGCUGGAGUUGCUAGUAAUCGCGAAUCAGAAUGUCGCGGUGAAUACGUUCCCGGGUCUUGUACACA
rnacentral:rRNA from 1 species